GACGAACGCUGGCGGCGUGCUUAACACAUGCAAGUCGAACGGAAAGGCCCUGCUUUUGUGGGGUGCUCGAGUGGCGAACGGGUGAGUAACACGUGAGUAACCUGCCCUUGACUUUGGGAUAACUUCAGGAAACUGGGGCUAAUACCGGAUAGGAGCUCCUGCUGCAUGGUGGGGGUUGGAAAGUUUCGGCGGUUGGGGAUGGACUCGCGGCUUAUCAGCUUGUUGGUGGGGUAGUGGCUUACCAAGGCUUUGACGGGUAGCCGGCCUGAGAGGGUGACCGGCCACAUUGGGACUGGGAUACGGCCCAGACUCCUACGGGAGGCAGCAGUGGGGAAUAUUGCACAAUGGGAGGAAGCCUGAUGCAGCAACGCCGCGUGCGGGAUGACGGCCUUCGGGUUGUAAACCGCUUUCGCCUGUGACGAAGCGUGAGUGACGGUAAUGGGUAAAGAAGCACCGGCUAACUACGUG
rnacentral:rRNA from 1 species